UGCUGACUCAUCUAAGAGGUAAACACUCUUACACUUCUCCUUUUCCUUUCUGUGCCUGGAAUGUGGCAUAAUGGUUGAAGCUGAGCAGCAUUCUACGGCCACACAAUGACCUCAGUGAUGGAAACUACAUUCUAAGGACAGCAGAACACAGAUAAAAGGAGUCUUGGCUCCUUGGAGGGGAUGACCUGGGAGCCAGUCCUUGACUAUUUGCAUCAGAACUGCUUUUGUACAAGAGAAAAGAUAAAUCGUGCUCCUGCUGGGGCUGCCUGGGCUUGGCUCCAGGCUGCAGGUCGAGUUGGGUCUGUGCCAUGUGCUCCUCAUCCCCUGUGGACCAGAAGAUGUGCCUUUCUCAUCUCAGAUAACAGGAAGACACAAGACUGAACCACACAAGCACAUUUAGAGCCUCUGCUCACCUCAUGCCCACCCACAUCCCAGCAGUCAAUGCAAGUGUCUUGACCAAGUUCAACAACAACGCCAUAAGGAGAUAAUCUCCAGCUGAUCUACGGAGAAGUAUUGCAAACCCAAGAGAGAGAGACACAGUGAGAGAGGGAACACAAGCAGAAGGAGUGGGAGAGGGAGAAGCCGACUGCCCACGGAGCAGGGAGCCCAAUGAAGGGCUCAACCCCAGGACCCUGGGAUCAUGACCUGAGCCAAAGGCAGAUGCCUAAACAGCUGAGCCACCCAGGUGUUAACGACAGCAAUAACAAGAGUCACCAUGAUGAAAAACAAUUCCACUUUCAGGAGUUUAUCCCAUGGAUCUAUCAAGAUUUAUGUGAGAGGAUACUGAUUGAAACAUCACUUCCAACAGCAAAACACUGGAAAGAACUCAAAAGCCCACUGUCGGGGAACCGGUCCUAUCAAUUGGGGCAGGACCCACAAAGAAAGAGCACGCAGCUGCUGGAAGGUGAAAUGCAAGUUUGUGUGUGUACAUAAAGAUGGCCACAGUAGAUUAAGUAAAAAAAAAAAGCAAGUGGUAGAAGAGUU
rnacentral:lncRNA from 1 species